rnacentral:rRNA from 1 species
GACGGAGGGUGCAAGCGUUGUUCGGAUUUACUGGGCGUAAAGGGCGCGUAGGCGGCGUGGUAAGUCAAUUGUGAAAUCUCCGAGCUUAACUCGGAACGGUCAAUUGAUACUGCUGUGCUAGAGUACAGAAGGGGCAAUCGGAAUUCUUGGUGUAGCGGUGAAAUGCGUAGAUAUCAAGAGGAACACCUGAGGUGAAGACGGGUUGCUGGGCUGAUACUGACGCUGAGGCGCGAAAGCUAGGGUAGCAAACGGG